rnacentral:rRNA from 1 species
CAGCCCUAAACGAUGCGCGUUAGGUGUAUCGGUGACCACGAGUCACCGAGGUGCCGAAGGGAAACCGUGAAACGUGCCGCCUGGGAAGUACGGUCGCAAGGCUGAACUUAAAGGAAUUGGCGGGGGAGCACCACAAGGGGUGAAGCUUGCGGUUUAAUUGGAGUCAACGCCGGAAAUCUCACCGGGAGCGACAGCAGUGUGAUAGCCAGAUUAAAGGUCUUGCUAGACGAGCUGAGAGGUGGUGCAUGGCGUCAGUGACU